rnacentral:misc_RNA from 1 species
GAUGAAGAACGUAGCAAAAUGCGAUAAGUAAUGUGAAUUGCAGAAUUCAGUGAAUCAUCGAAUCUUUGAACGUACCUUGCACCCUUUGGCAUUCCGAAGGGUAUGCUCGUUUGAGUGUCAUUGUACUCUCACUCUCCCGAUCUUUGGAUCGGGAGUGGUGGACUUGGGUGUUGCUGCUUUACCGUGGCUCACCUCAAAUGGAUUCGUGCAACUCCUGGUUGGACAUAGUACGGCGUGAUAAGUGUCUUCGCCGGCACCUCACUAGAGGGUGGCUGACCGGGAGCUCUGUGCUUCAAACCGUCUUCGGACAACAACUGACAACUUGACCUCAAAUCGAGUAGGACCACCCGCUGAACUUAAGCAUAUCAAUAAGCGGAGGA